rnacentral:misc_RNA from 1 species
GAGGAAAGUCCGGACUCCACAGAGCAGGGCGGUUGCUAACGGCAACCCGGGGUGACCCGCGGGACAGUGCCACAGAAAACAGACCGCCGGCGCGUGAGCGUCGGUGAGGGUGAAACGGUGCGGUAAGAGCGCACCAGCGCCCCGGGUGACCGGGGUGGCUAGGUAAACCCCGCCCGGAGCAAGGUCGAAGGCCGCACCUCACGGUGCGGCUGCGCA